AGACACAAUGUGUCCUAAAUAAUGAAUGGAUUCCUUCUCUAUGGAACACUUCUCUCCCUUUAGUUUGAAGUUGUAUUGAAUUAGUAGCUAGAAAGUACUUUCCAGGUGGGAAACAUGAGAAUCCAGAGUUGGGCUAUAUACUAAAAUAUCGUCAAAAAAUACAAUGAUGAAUUGACGAAGAUGUGGCCGAAAGAGAUCAUUCAUGAUGGCUUGAAAGGUGGAAGGGGCAUUGCAUAACCCAAAUGGCAUCACCUUGAAUUCGAAAUGGCCAUUAUGAAUGCGGAAGGCGAUUUUGGCACAUUUAGUGGGAAACAUCAAAAUCUGAUGAAAGUCAGAGAAUAAGUCCAGCUUUGAGAACCAAGUUGCAUUACCCAACUUGUCCAACAAUUCAUCGACAGUCGGAAUCGAAAACUUGUCCUUCACCAUGACACGUUGAGGGCCCGAUAGUUAACACAAAAACGCCAUGCCCGUGCUUCUUUUUGACAAGGAGAAUAGGGGAGGAGAAAGGACUUGUGCUUGACUUAAUAAAACCGGAAUCCAACAUUCGUUGCACCUAUUACUCAAUUUCAUGCUUUUGAAAGUGGGGAUAUCUGUAAGGCCUGACAAAGAUUGGGGCAGUGUUUGGUUGUAGGGUUAUACCGUGAUCGGUGGGUUUGGAAGAGGGUAAAGUAGUUGGUGGUUAAAAGAGGGAAGCAUAUUUGGUGAGUAGUGUUUGUAGUGGAAGGUGGUCAGAUGUAGGAAGAGAUGAGUGGAUGUGGAUUUGGGUAGGGAAGGGGAUGCGGGUGUGAGGGAGUAUAAGUGGUAUGAAGGGGGUUGGUCAAGUGUAAGCUAGUGAAGGGCCACCACACUAUUAGUUUUGCUGUAGCCGCUAAAGUUGAUAGAUGGAUAUUAGGCUAGGUUUUGGGCCAGUUUUGCCUUUUAAUUCAACCAAAGUGCCUUCCCACAUAAAACGCAUGAAUGGGCCAUUAUAGUCCAUCACAAGCGGGCUAACUUGAGUGAGCCAAUGAACCCCUAGGACAAUGUCAAUUCCAAACAAUUCUAAAGGAUACAAAUCAAUAAAGAUUUGGAAAGAGGCAACUUUAAGUUGGGCCUUAGGGCAAAGAGUGGAGCAUGGAAGGAAAUCACUAUUACCUACCAUUACUUUUAGAGGGGUUGAAGUGGGCUCAUUGUGGAGUUAAAGGAAAUGGGCCACACGACUCUGGAUGAAGUUGUGUGUAGCUCCAUAAUCCACCCGAAUUUGGACCUGGUAUCCAUUGAGAAAACUCGUUAAUCGAAGAGUGUGAGGGGCGCAUUGACCAGAUUAAGCAUGUAGAUUGACUAGGCUUGAUUCAGAGGAUGGAUCCUCUGUGGGUGGUUGAUCUGGGUCAUCUGACUAGAUCAGAUCGUCAUCUGAUGUAGUGGAUAUCAGAAGUAAGAACUAGGUCUUACAACGAUGGCCAUGUGUAUAACAUUCAUUGAAAUUAUAACAUAGAUUCUUCUUUCUUCUACCUUGCAUUUCUAACUGUAAGAAAUUUAAUGGGUAACUUGGUGGGGGUGUGGGAAGGAGGGGAGGGAGAGGUUUGGGGGUUGGUGGUGGUGGUGGUGGGGUUUGAGUUUGAUAAAGUGGUGGUCUAGAGAAUCGAGAAAAUGGGGAGGCAGAUUGUUUAUAAUCAUGGAGUUUAGCAAAUGAGAUGACCUGAUUCAAAUCGGUAGGUUGGAGGACCAUUUCCUCAUGGUGGAGGUGUGGUUUGAGCCCCAAGAUGAAGUACCUUAGAUAAAAACUAGGGGGAUAUCCAGAGAUCCUGUUGGAGAGAGUCUCAAACUCAGAUAGAUAAUCCUGCAAGGAGUGAGUCUGAGAAAGCUUAUAAAGAGCUGUGAUAGGAUCCUCGAACUGUGAAGGAGCAAAUCGGAGCUCCAAAGCCCGGAGAAAAGAUUCCCACGAUGUUAAGAGCUCGUUGUUAUGCAUCUAUUGAAACCAUGCAAGGGCUUUUCCUUUAAGAGAGAAAGAGGCAAACUAAAUGCGUUGGUCCUUAGGUGUUUUGUGAAAGGUAAAAAACUGGUUCACCUUAAAGAUCCACCCUAAUGGGUCUGACCUGUCGAAGGAAGGAAGGUCUAGUUUCAUAUGGCGAUGAAGGGAGUUGAGUGGUUGGGGGGAGAGAGCAAGUUGGUUUUCAAGGUUGGAAGUGCAAUUAUCAAUCUCCAUGAGGGUGUUAGAGAAAUUGGUUUGAGCAAGUGAGAUAUGCUCUAACUUGCGGUCAAGGAAGGCUAGUGUAUCAGAAGAGUCGGUCAUGAUGGAGGGGAGUGAGAUGCAAUGAAAGUUCCACAUGAAAGGGAAAAAAAUCAGAAAGAAGAAGAAUAAUCUAGAAAAUGACAGAAAGGCAGAAUAACAGAAAGAGAAUACUCAAUAUUUCAUUCAUCCUUUCUUCUCAAUCAUGAGGUGCUCUAUAUAGGCACAAAUCAUUACAAAUAACAUUCUCUAUCACGGGUUUCCUCCUUUUCCGCUAAAGUUGUCACGUCACUUAGUGAUAUAAUUAUUGAGGUAAGUUGACUAACGAGAGACUCUCUUUGGAAGGUCAGCAGUAGAAUUUGUGGUAGUACUUGAGUUGUAUUAAUCUUGCACUUUGUCAAUGAACUUCUCAUUAGUACCACAUAGGCUCAAUAUUCCUUUCAAGGUAGCAAAUAAUAAAAAAAAAGCAAAAAUGGAUUUCUAGCUGUGAUUGUCGUCAAUAAUAUAUGUAAAGUGAUUAUCUGAUUGACUUUAAUAUAUGUAAUUUAGGUUCAUCUUCUAUGAGUUUAUCCUAACCCUCUAGAAGUAUGUUUUAUUUUAGUGGUUCAUUCAGUUGAAAGUUUUUUUAAAACUCUAACUCCAAAAAUCUCAUGUGAAUGGAAUUGAGGCAAUAUUUGGGUGAGGUUAAUCUUCUAAUAUUAACUUUCCUUAACUUGUUACUUUCUUUCUUAACUCUUUUAAGUAAAAUAUUAACUUUUCUAAUUGAAAAUUAAAUAUGGUAUAAGAGGUAAAGUUUAAUAGUAUAUUUUAAGUUAACAAUCAAUUAGAAAAAUGCAUAAACUUUUAAUAUAAUUAAUAGGGUUAAAUAUGUUUUUAGUCCCUAUACUAUCAAGCGGUUUUGGUUUUAGUCCCUCUUUCAAAGUAAGGUACAUUUUAGUCCUUCUUCUUAAGAAAACUUUAAUUUUAGUCCUCUAAAACUAGCAACAUUAAAAAUCAGCUGAGGUAGCUAAUGGUGGUGUGUGCCACGUCAUUUUUUUCUGACACUGGGUCACUGGGUCAAUCUCCCUCCCCCUCCCUCCAUUUUCUCACUUUACCAUCGUCUUCAAGAGAGAAACCGGUCACCCGCAGUGGCACCAUCGUCUUCCAUGGCCGAUGACCGACACGUGGCGAAGAGCCUUUAGGUCUAAGCCUCGCAUUGGACAGAGACGCAGUCGCAAUUAAAACCAAUAAAAUAAAUGAAUAAACAAAUGCUUUGUGUAGAAGCCAAGCGAGGAACCAGCGAAUAAACAAACUAACUGUUAUCUAUGCGCAUUGCGCACCUAACAACCAUAGAGUUCUGUCCAAUUCAAUGAACCGCGGCGAGGAGAGAGAAACUACAGCGUUACAAGCUAUGGCUCGAAGAGAAGCAGGCCAAGCUUAAGGGGGAAUUCGAUGAGCUACUAGAGUGGAAGGCGCCCUGGUGCCAUUGAGGGUGACUGGUUUCUCUCUUGAAGACAAUGGUAAAGUGAGAAAACGAAGGGAGAGGGAGGGAGAUUGACCCAGUGACCCGGUGUCAGAAAAAAUUUCGUGACACGCACCACCGUUAGCCACCUCAACUGAUUUUUAACGCUGUUAGUUUUAGAGGACUAAAAUUAAAGUUUUCUUAAGAAGGAGGACUAAAAUAUACCUUACUUCAAAAGAUGGACUAAAACCAAAAUCGCUUGAUAGUAUAGAAAUUAAAAACAUAUUUAACCUUGAUUAAUAUAAAGAUUAAUAAUUUAUUCAUUAUAUGGGUUAAUUUAUCGUUAAAUAGCAAGAUAUUAUAUUAUAUUAUAUUAUAUUAUAUUAUAUUAUAUAUAUAUAUAUAUAUAUAUAUUAUAUAUAUAUAUAUAUUAUUAAAAAUAAUAAUUGAUACAAGAAUAAAUUUAAGUCAUACAAUAAAAUAAAAUAAAAAUAAACAAUAUAUAAUAAAAUAAUUCAUAAAUUUAUUAUUUAUAAGUUUAUUAUUUUAAAUUUUUAAAUUAAAAUGUCUUAUUUAAUUUUUAUUUUAAUAUAAAUGACUUAUUAAGUAAAUAUCUUAUAUAUUCUAAAAAUAUGUUUCAGUCAAUGAAAAAUAAAUAUAUUUAUUUUGUGGCUAAAUUUUUCUAUAUAAACAAACAAUAAAGUUUUUGGAUGUGUGAAUUUUUUUUUACCUUAAUCUAUACGAGUGAAGGUCAAAUUAUAGGAGGAAGACUAUAUUAACUUGUUUAUAUUCCUUUUCCUCAAUCACAUAUUAAAUAUUAAAUAAUCUGAAACGUAAAAGUCACAAAAUUCAUAAAAAAAAUGUGUUUCACGCAAGGAAAUACCAAUUGUUACUCUAUAUAAGUAGCAUUAAUAUUCUAAAAAAAUGAAUUAUGCUUAUUAUUCUUUAAUACCCAGAUUAAUCUUAUCAGAAAAGGAGAAGAAAAACUUAAAAAGUAAAAAAAAAAAUUGAAACGAUAGACAAUUUCAAAGGUUUCAAUACAAAAAAAAAAGAAAAAAAGAAAAAGAGAAGAACUUAUAAAUAUAAUAAAAAAUAAAAAAUGUUAAUGAUUUUAAAUAUUAGAGAAAGAAAUCAUAUUAUUAAUUGUUAUAAAUGUAUGAGAAUUGUUUUACAAUCGUUAAAAGAAGAGAGGGUACGUAUCUUGGAAAAUAUGAUUAAAUUCUUCUAUGGAAGAGAAAUUCCAAUAAACUUAAAAAGAAAACUCAAGAAACCAAAAAAAAAAAUAUAAAAACUGAAAAUAAAAAAUAGUAAUAGACAUAAAACAUGAUUAUUUCCAAUUACAUUGAUUAUAAAUCUCACUUCUCAAAUUAAAUGAUACUUUCAUUUCAGUUUCAAUUUCAAUUGUGACAUUCCAAAUAUAUAAUAAACACAAUUAUAUAAUAUAGGUGUGGUGUCCACUAGUUAUAAUAAAGAGAAUAGGUAGAAGUGAACUUGAGAUUAGAUACAGGAUUACAGUCAUCCAGAAUUGUCUAAUUUAAAACUUUUAAUCAUAACAAAGUAUUUCAAAAUAACCUAAGAAGUAUCUCAAAAUAACAUAAGAUAACUAAGAUGAAUCCUAAGGAGUCUAAGGUGUAGCAUCAGCAUCCUCCAGUACUUGCUUCAGAUGCACCUCCUCAACAUCUGUUCACAUCCAAGUGGAUGAUCAUCGCAAAGGAAAAACAUACACAAGUAGCACACAACAAAGAAGCAAGGGUGAGCUAGAUAAAUAAGAAACAUACAUAAAGCAUAAUCCAUCAAUAUCACCAUGUUUAGUUACAUAUAAAAAGAACAAUCAAGCAUAUCAUUCAAACCAUGUAUUAAGUACUCAACACGACUCAUCCGAAUUUGUAUAAUUGUCGAACUAUUGGUCGUCUUUGCACUUGCAUAGUUUAGCUGGCCCUCCCCAACACUAUGCAAGGUAAAUCAUCAUACCAGUCUAUGUCUAAACUCUAAGACUAUAGACGAGGACCUCCCUCUACUCUCACCACUCACAUUGCUCUUCUCUAUCUGAGCAUGAACAGUGCUUUAAGUGUAGGGAUAGACUUAACAUUUCAAAGUUCCAUACAAUUAUACAAGACGAUAACACAAUCUCUACAACCACUUCCAAUCAUCUCACCCUGAGAUGUCCAAUUCUUUCAAGCCACACAAUUCAAAUAUAUAACAUACAUGACACUCUGUUGAUCAAACAACAUCAAACAAAUCAAAUACCUUACCAGACAAUAACAGUCCCAAAAGAACCAUUAAACGACUCAAACCCCGUAACUCAUACUUAGACAAAGAAAAUGGCUUUGAAACCAUCACCAAGAAUUUCGGAAAGGUCCAAAACCCCCAAAAUGACCUAAGGAACGUCCAAACGGACAUCUGAAAUCCCAAAAACUAUCAAAAACAAAAACAACAGCAUGCUGGUGCGCCCAGGGACGCUCGAGCUCGACUAGGGGUGCUGGGGCGCCAUGACAACAACUAGAUUCAUAAUUUUUAGCCAGUUUCGUCCAUAUUUGAUUCCCAACACAGAUUCAACACUUCUAACAUGUUUUCAAACAUAUUUGGAGUCUAAUAUCACUCCAUAAUCAACCACCAACAUCAUAAACAUCAAUACAACCAUUGUUCAUGCAAAAUCAACUCUUUAAAUACAUAACAAUAGAUUUUUUCUGCAUAAUUUUCUAACCACUUGUAACCAACCAUUCAUCACCCAACAAUGACCUUUUCCCCAAGAUUUAUAUACCAAAACAGAUCCAUAAUGUAUUGUAUCUAAUCCCAAAACAGUUUGCACAUCUCACUUCUCAAUUUCAGAAAAACAAACGAAAAAGAGUAGUUUCCACCACUCAUUUCAUCCAAGCAUAGAUCAUAUAUCCAAUCACUCAUACAUAUCAUAAAUCUCACUUCAACAUCCAUCAAAAUCAAGAGAUUUUCGUACACAAUGACAUUCAUGAACAAACUUCUCUGUUUUACAUGAUUUUCAUGGUUUUUUAUAUCUUAAAAUCUCAUAACAACUCAUACCAUAACAUCCAUACGAGGAUCUAAUGUUCAAUCCAAUUCAGGGUUCAUUUCAUACUCCAAAUCCUUUCUUCUUCCUUCAAAACAUAAUUAAAAACCAUCAUCCAAGAAUUUAACAUUUCUAAUCCAAGAUCUCACAACAAGCAUUUACAUUCAUCCAAUUCCAACUCAUUACUUGUUCAAGAAAUAUGAUUUUCGGAUUUGGAAAAAGAUGAGGUAAAACUCUCAUGUCUUUCACUCCAUUUUAAUAACCAAUUCAUCCAAAACUUCAUAUUCAUACAUACAAACACAUUAGAACGAAUUUCCAUCAUCAUGCCCAUCAUUAAAUCCAUUAAAACUUAUCACAUUUCGUAGAACUUUCAUCAAACAAUACAUGUGCAUUUUUUCUUUUCAGAUUCAAAGUUAGCUCCCUUUACCUUAGGGUUGAAUAGUCCAGUACACAGAACAACUUCUCUAGUGCCCUUCCUGGAGAAGAACUGAAACAGUGCUCGGUCCGAAACGAGAAACCAAUCGGUUCAAACUAAAGCCCUUGACGUCGUGAACACUUGGACAACACCAAAUUAAACAUGCACUGAGUCAAUGAACUUGAAAGUUAGAGAGAAAACAAAGAGAAACAAGAGUUGGAAUUCUAGAGAAAGGAUAAUUCUUAGAAGAUGGAUUUCUGUCUUUUAGAAAGUUCAACAUAAAUAUUUGAAACAAUUUCUUUUUAAUAAAAUGUCCCUCUCUUUAUAACUUAAUUCAGCUUUCAUCCAUUCUUUUUAAUAUAUAUAUAUAUAUAUAUAUAUAUAUAUAUAUAUAUAUAUAUAUAUAUAUAUAUAUAUAUNNNNNNNNNNNNNNNNNNNNNNNNNNNNNNNNNNNNNNNNNNNNNNNNNNNNNNNNNNNNNNNNNNNNNNNNNNNNNNNNNNNNNNNNNNNNNNNNNNNNNNNNNNNNNNNNNNNNNNNNNNNNNNNNNNNNNNNNNNNNNNNNNNNNNNNNNNNNNNNNNNNNNNNNNNNNNNNNNNNNNNNNNNNNNNNNNNNNNNNNNNNNNNNNNNNNNNNNNNNNNNNNNNNNNNNNNNNNNNNNNNNNNNNNNNNNNNNNNNNNNNNNNNNNNNNNNNNNNNNNNNNNNNNNNNNNNNNNNNNNNNNNNNNNNNNCAAAUAAAGUUAAAAAAAUUUAGUAAAAAGGACUAAAACCAGAGUUUUCUAAAGUUGAAGGACUAAAUUGUACUAUAGUUUGAAAGAGGGACUAAAACCAAAAUCGUCCUAAAGUAUAGGGACUAAAAACAUAUUUAACCCUUUUUAUUAUAUUCUAAGUUACAAAUGCGUUUUAGAAAGAAAAAAAAAAGUAAGGAUAGAGCGGUUGUUUUAAAAGUAAUAAGAUAAAAAUUAGAUUUAAUUAAUAACUGUUCUUAUAUUUAGGUAUAUAAUUUAAUCGAGUCUUGAUAUUUUUUAAUAAAAUUAAUUAGAUUUUUAUAUUAAAUUAACAUUAAAAUUAUUAAAAAUGUGUCAUAUACAAUUUUGUUUGUUAUUUCUUAUUUUAAAACUAUUUUUAUUUAACAUGUGAGAUUUUCAUAUUUUAACAUCUAUUACCUUUUAAACUAUUUAACAUGUAACGUCUUCAGAAUUUUAAUGAAUAACACUAAAAAUAUCAUUAAUAUAUAAAAGAACAAAAUUCAUUCUAUUUAAAAUUAUUAAAAAUUUAAAAAAUACCCAUCAUAUAUUUAAAUAUAGGAAUCACAUAACUCAUUAACCUAAUAAUAAGUUAUUUUUAAUUAAAUAUUAUACAAGUAGAAAUCAGUAUUUUAUUUUUCUGUUGUUUCUUAAAGUUAUCUCUUCUACCACAUGAGGAGCAAAUCCACGUUGCUUUCAAAAAAACUCUUUGUAUUUUCUAUUUCUACUUUUUAUAACAAGAUUAUAUUAAAAGUUGUAAUAAGUAAUAUUUUAAUUUUUUUUCUCGAAAUAUUAAAUAAACAGAUCAAUAUUUUUAUUCAUAUUUAUAACUUAUUUUUAUUACUAUAAACACACACACAAUAAUAUAUAUAUAUAUAUAUAUAUAUAUAUAAUUACUUAUUUAUUUAUUUUUUCUUUUAAUAGUCACGCGGAAUAGGAAUCAUGCGAACACGGAGGACGGUUAAACUCACAGACUUUUCCCGCCUUUUCUCUCUGAUUUUGAUUCCGGUUUUGCAUUUCGGCAAAUCAAAUUAACAUUCAUCAAAUCCAUUUUAUAGUGCUGUAAGUGUUUUUUUUUUUUUUCCCGCAACGCGCAAAUCUAUAAUCUAUAUUGCUCCUUCGACAUUGGUUUGAUUCUGAUUAAACUUACACUACAGCCUUGUCUCCUAUCAAUUGUUGAGAUCGUUUCUACGUUCUGAUUCCGAAUUCUCCAAUUCCUCUUUUUCGAGGGUUUCUUCUCAGGUAUUCUAACGAUUUGCAUGCUUCUCUUUCUUGAGUUUCGAGGUUGUUAUUUCCACUCUGUUUGGCUGUUGGGAUUACAAGGAACUUUUGAGACUGACGGUUUCUUUAUGUUUCGGGUUUUACUGACUUUGAACGGAGGCUUCAUCAGCAAUGGGUUUCUCUCAUACUUUUCUGAAAGUUGUGCCGGGUUUUGUGUGGAUUUGUUCCAUUAAUUUUAUUUUAUGUUCUUGCUUUUUUCAAGUUAGUUAAUGACGCCGAUGCUUAGCUUAAAUUGUAACUUUCCACUUUAUUUGGUUUUGUUGUUACUUUUUUCAGGUUAGUAACUGACGUAUCAGCUUUGCUAGAGUAGCAACUGCAAAUGGAUGUUGGAGCGCGUCAAGUUUUGCAUGAUGUAAGUGGUUACAACCUUGAUUUGGCGAAUUUUCUGAUUUGACUAACUAUUUGUUAUAGAAUAAUAUUUGGUAACUAUUAGUGUGCUCCUUCGUCAAUUAAUUUCUAAUUGGUAUGAAACGUUGUCAUUGGAUAGCUGAUUUGUUAGCUUAGGUUUGUCCAGUGUGAAUUGUUCAAGUUAGUUUGGGCUUGAUAUUUGUUCUGAUGCAAUUGCAACAUUAGCGUUCUUGACAUUUUUUUCGCAGUGUUUAGUGCUACCUUUUCUUAUGUGCACAAGACUCUGAUAGAUACGUCAUAAGAAUUAAGAAAUUCAAUUUAGUUAGAGAUAUUAAAUUCGUUAUUAAUUUGUAGUGUAGUUUCUAUUAUUCAGAUUCAGAGGAUAUUAUGCAAAAACAGGCAAUUAUCGCAGUAGACAAUUAAGAAGAGCUUCUAGAGAAAUAGCAGUACAGACAAACUACCCUUAAAGUUCUUCUUAAAAGGACCAGGCAAUAAUAACUAAACUGUCUUUUAUUUUCCAGAGCUCUGUCUGAUGUUACUGACUACAACCAAUUAUAAUUGUGGUUAUCUUUCUGUUACUGAAGGACAAAAGUUCUAUAUACUCAUGGAUUUGAACUAUGUAUUCAGGAGCAGACGAGUGAUUGUAGGAGUUUUGGCAGCAAUAUCCGUUCGUCCAGCCAGACACGGAAAAUUUCUAUAGGAGUAAUGGCAGAUUCAAAAACUAGCACAAGAAAUGGACUCACGAUGGGGGACGGGAUUGUCGUGCCAAAUACAGAAAGGGAAAUCUCUAUUGUGGGAAAUUUCCCUGGAGAAAAAAAUGAAGUUAAAGGAGUCACACCUUCCUUUAACAUAAAGCAUUCUGGAGGUCCACCGGAGCUGAAGUGUUCUUGGAUCUCCAAAUCCUUUUACCAAAGAACACCGAUUUCUGAGUCCAUUAUUCAAGCCAACCAAGCCUCCAGUUUACUAGUCUCUCCAGGUGGCGGGGACGAUCCAAAUGGAAUAGAGCGUGCAGCUGGGAAACAUUCAGUUCAGCUUUUCUCAUAUCAGAAAUCAACUUUAACUUCUAAUAAUUUCAAAAAGUUUGAUGCGGACGCUGCCAGAAUAAAGGGAAGGAAGGACGAGCCCAAUGACAAGGUAAAGGAAUUUACAUUUGCCACUGUACAACAAGUCUUCGAGUCUGAGAAAACCUACCCAGAGGACAAAGUAAAUAGAACAGAAAACAGAACCGAGAAUUUGAGGAUGAAGCUUUGCCAAAUAUUGGGGACCACUUCUUCUCACAAGAGUCGGCAUUCAGCUUCUCCCGCACGUAACAACGACGAGGAAAGUUUGCCGCCUGAGCAGCGUUCGGACCAGAAGCAAAACAUGAAGAGCAUACAAAACUCGGAUACUAUAGAAACUGAUUCUGAAAAUCCUGAUCACGCUCUUAAGAGGCCAGUAACUCGUUCUUGGAGCAGAAAGAAAACGUCUUCCAAAAAGCAACCGGGAAAAGGUAAAAGUGGCCCAUCUUCAAAAAAGACUGAGAAGCAAGGAGAAAAAAGUAUAUUCUCUUUUAAAGGAAAACAGAUUGGGAGACGAGAUGAUUUUCCCGAUGACGGAUCCUUGAGGAAAAAGAAUCAAAAAAAGAAUUCCAUGAUUGGGAAAAAUAAGACCAGCGUCAUUGAAUGUGACACCGCAGAUAAACUUCAUCAACACACUUCGAAGACUGAUCUACCGCUGAAUGACCAGACAACAUUUUCACUUGGGAAGAUAGCAGGCGGGUAUACUGGUUGCUUACCUGAAUAUCAGUCAAAAUGCCCUCAUACAGAGAAAAUAAACCAAGAAAAAGAAUUUUACGAGCCAACAAUUGUAAAUACAGAUCAGCAUGGAGAACUUGAGGUCUCAGAAAAUGAAAAUCAGAAAGAAUAUAAAAGUAACCCAGUAAAUCAGAAUGUUGCUUCUAAGCUACAAGAUGAUUUUCCAAGUCCUACAUUUCAACUUAAGACACCGAUUUUAAGUUUUUCUCCUGACUCAACACAAAAUACAGGCCGAAAGGAAAAGGAUGUAAGUAGUCCAGCAUCAACUGAAAGAACAUUUUCUCUGGGAAGCAUUCAUAGUUUAAGAAAUAUCGAGGCUUCAGAGCCAGACUUCAACAUCGACGGGCUAGGAGAGCAAAUGCAACCUUCUGUAUCCUUAUCGCACCACAGGACUUAAGUUGAUAACUUUGACUGUUCUGGAACUGAACUGGAAAUGUAGUGUUUCUCUUUUUUUGCCAUUCCUUAUUAUAUUUCAGGAUAUAGAAGAGACCAAUUCUUUUAUUCCCAGAAAAGACAAAUCUUCUGAGACAGAGAAAAAAGAGCAGGGUGGUUUAUCUGAUUCAUCAUCUGAAGAUUUAAACUUUCAAGAACAUCUUGAAGGUUUGCGUUACAUUAAAUAAUGAUAUGUACAUUAAUCUUUUUGCAUAUUCUGAAUUAAAUUUGCAGGAGAUCUUACAGAAUCAGCAGUACUUCUUUCCAAAGGCUGAUUUUAGUAUAAAUCCCAUCUUAAAACUAUGUCAAAUUGGAUUAAGCACACACGAGACACAAACUAGAUAAUCCUUUUGUAAUUUAUACUCACUUAAAGCCCUGGAAAUAAUGAGCAUGUUUCUUUCAUUGGACUGAUUUAUCUCCCAUUUUUUUCUGUUUCCAUCGAUAUUUUCUUCUAGAUUUCAAAUCACUCAUUUUAGCAGUAUAUGUGUUUUCAUAGUAAAAACACCUAAGAAAUAUAAGAUUCCUACAUGUUUGGUUCUUAGUGUAAUGCAAAUGCGUGGAAGUUACUGGCUUGGUAGAAAACAGCAUCAUCCACAAGAAGAAUAGAAGAUUCCCACAAGUAGGGAAGCUACAUGUAAAGAAUGCUGUAAAAAUUUCUCACUUGGAAGAAAAUUAUAAUUGUUCUGUAAUUUCCCGAUGUCUUUACCGUGUAUAGCCUGUACCUAGUUCUUCAUAACGUCUGAUCUAAGACUAAUACGAUGUUCUCGGGUGACCUUUUAUGUCCACUGGUCUUGUUAGCUUCUUACGCCUGUUUAGUCCUUAUUUUGAAAGGAUCAUCAACCAAACCAAAGCAAAAAGAUAAGGGGGAGGGGAUGGAUCCACUGGUAGACUGAUUGUUGAUGGCUCUUCCAGUAGAUUGAUAACAGUUAUGAGGAAUGAAUCAAAUUCAUUGAACUUGAUAUGCCAUGAAUAAUUAAAAUGCGUCACAUAUAAUUGUUGGUGGAAUUUGCAUUACCUGCCCUCUAAAGUCUCUAUAUUAUUAUUAGUUAUCCGAUGCACGUUCUGGUUUUACUCCAGCGGCACAAACUGUUAUCAGAAAUUCUAUGUUUUUCCUCCCUUGUAUACUGUUGUGUCCUUUCGAAGCAGAGCCAUAUCUUAGUUGUAUCUAAAUCAUGUUAGUGAAGGUUCAAGAGAAAGACGUGAUUCAGAGAGGAAAAAUUUUGUUCUUCAUCCAAUGAAGAGGCUGUGCAAGCAUGAAAGCAUUAAAUUUAACAAUAGGAGCCCAGCUUCAGCGUCUUCAAAAGGUAGUAAAUUCAUUUUGUACUUAAUAUUUAUAUCUGAAUAUGCUAUAAAGAUAUACGCACUUUUAUACUCUAAUUUACACAAAUGAUUAGGUACAGGAGACAGUGAUUGGAUUGGUGAAGCUUCUGAGCAGAAUCAAAAUGGUUUUGCAAGGUGUUUUACUUUUUUUCAUGAAAAACUGAUUAAUGAGUCCACCAGAACAAUAUAAAUUGCAACUCAUGCUUGCAUGAUCUUUUAACUGUAUAUUGGAUAGAGCUGUUGAACUGUUAGCCUUGGAAUUGGGCAAACUUCAGAGCAAACUUAAGUCGAUGACAAGUCAGAAAUCCUCUGAAAUUUUGAAGUCUGUUGCUGAAGAAAUACAUCUUCAGCUGCAGAAUGUUCAUUCCCAAAUCCAGACGGACAUGUAGGUGUACUAGACUGAUAAAUUUUCAAGCUUCCGAUCGAUAUCUUACACUUUUGUGUUUUCUUGACAAAAUGUUUCAGGGGAAAGCUUACAAAUCUCAGUAAAUCAAAGAGAAAACGGCUGGAAACUAGAUUUGAAGGUAACGAAAUUUAAGUUCAAUGUUUAAUAUGUUAAUGUUUUUUAGUUUUACUAUUGUAAUUAUUAUCUACAUUUUUCUCCUAGGAAUGGAUCUCAGGUUUUCAACUUGUACGUCAUGUGCUAGGGUUAUGUUUGUCUCUUUUGAUAAACAUUAAAUAGUUUGAGGGUUUAACACUGUUCGUUCUUUUCAUCCGUUAUGGUUCAGCUGACAUUCUAUUUGGUUUUUUAUGCAUACAUUUUUGGGUCUAAAAAUUAAUAGAAUUAAAAUUUAUCUCGUUUAUGUUCUUCAAAAUAAUAGAUACAAUAUACUAAAUUGUUUCCCUUAAGUUAGAAGUCAAUAGGUUGUAUCCCUCUAGACUAAUUCCAGGAAUUCAUAUUGUUAUCGGAAAUAUUACUUUAAAUUUCUGUAAUACAUGAUCAUGUUAUCGUUGUUCUGUAAUAACUGUUUCUCCUAGUCCAGAAGAAAGUUUGAUUUGAAAACAGAUAUUUAUUUGUAACAAUAUACGGGGGUAAUAGCUAUGAUGGCAGUCCUAAAAUUAUUUGUCACAAGGAAUUAUAAAAGGGCUAGAUAAAAGAAUGGUAUGGUUCUACUGAAAGCGUCCUUGCGCUAGAUCUUGCAUUUAUAUUUUCUACAAAUAACUUACCUAUCACCACCUCUGAAUUUUGCAUUCAUCGUUUUCCUCAUAUAUUCUUUUCUUUAGUGGCAUUUUCUUGUCUUACUACUUUGUUACUUUGUUCGGAGAUGUUUGCUCUUUCUUCCUCAGUAACUUUUUUAACCUUCUCUUCCUCUAACAAAACGUAGACCAACAACAACAGUUGAGGUUAACAUAUGAUAGAUUCAAGGAAGAGGUUAAUCAGCAUCUACAGGAUUGCAGAAGCACCAUUGAAGAUCUUGAAGCAGAUCAGAUAGAGAUCAAGAGAGCCAUGGAAAAACAAAGUAUGAAAACAUAGUAUUUGUAUUACCUUAUUUUAUUAUGUUUAAAAUAAGUUAUAAUUUAAAUUUUGUUGUAAUUUUUUUCAAAGGCAGUUUUUCCCAAAUAAUUGAUCUAAUCCAAGUAUGCAAAAGACGUCCUCUGGAUUUAGAUACGCCCUUUUGUUUUUAAAUGCAAUAUUAAUAUAUCUAUAAAUAUCAGCUCGAGGCUCAAGUUCAAUUUUGUUUUAUAUGAAAAAAGAGUAACUAAAUGGUAUUUAUGACUACUAGAGUUGGAGUGUCAGGGAGUAGUGCAAUUCUUUCAUAUUUCUUCCCCCUUUUUGAGCAAGUAAAGGUAUAAAUUUCAAAUCGCCAGAGACAUAAUACUGUUUGCGCAUAUUUAUGUAAUCUUCUCUAUCAUUUCUGUUAAUCAUUGUGUUUUACAAUUUUAAUUACGUGAGGAUAGUGUCAAUGUUUUGGCGUCGCAAGUUUUUAUCUCGAUGUAUUAUGCAACAAAAGUCGUGGACAGUUACAUCUAUGAUAUUUUUGAAAGAAAGCUGCUUGAGCAACCACUUCGUGGUUAGCUCGAUAAGGGAUUAAAGCUCGGGAGUGCUCUUAGACCUAGUCUCUUGCUAAUAAAAGAAAAAAAAAAUUACCAUUUGUAUUAUUGGAAGUAUCAUGUUGGUUGUGGCCUUAUUUAAAUAUAUUUUGUGUAUAGGAGUAGCGCAUAAGAAGCUUCUGUCGCAAGUUGAAGAAGCAAUGGAGAUCCAACUUGAUGACGCUCAAAGGAAAAUCAGAGUCACCCAGGAGGCAAGUAUUUGUUAUAAGUAGUUGUUUCAUUCGUUAGCACUAGGUUUUCCUCUUCUAAUAAUGAUUUUAUAAGUAUUAGUUCGUGAUUAGUCAUCAAUCAGUCGCAUGAUUCUCAAAUUACUAGUGUAAUGAUACACUGCACCGUACUAUUUCGUUAAGUUAUUCUUGCAUCACGAGUAAUGAUAUUUGUCCGCCUAAAUAUGUGGUGAACUGAUGUUAUAAUUAGAGAGAGAAAAAAAAGAAGGUAGAGACAGAACAUGAUCAAUAAAAGGUUGAUAAUAUCCUUGCUUUGCUUCGUUGAAUUUAGGAUGUGAACGUGAUAUGCUGCUGGUCCAGCUGCCAUUAGUCGUUCUGUUUAGAUUUUGCUUUUCCUUAUUCAUUGUCAAUUGUUUACAACAUUGUUAACCAUCCUUUUAAAUGGAUGCAGAAGGCGAGAGGGAAACUUCUACAAUUGAAGCAAGUUGUAGCUAUGUGCUUAAAAGAAGAAAUACUAAAUUGAUAUGAUUUCUUCUGAUUCCCUGCAACUUAGGAAGUUUGCUUUGAAGGAAGCGCGCCUUGAGAUUUCGCUAGAUCCUUUAGACUGGAAUCUUAAAAGAUUUCUAUGUACGUAACAUUAUGACCCCUCCUCUUCUUUUAACUGCAUAGAAUAGAUAAUUUGGCCCAGUUCAAGUAAUAUCACUUAAAAUUUCUUUUAUCAAACUUGAAUACUGGGUCUAUUGUGCGUGAUUUGCGGGAUAAAAAAACAUCCACAUGUGUCAUUGAGAUUGUUAUUGCUUUUCUCUUAAUAUUCUCUGAUUUUCCAGCCGCAAUUUGGCGGGUCCACUAUACUGUUUUUACAACUUAUAUUUUAAAUUUAUGCUGUUUGAAAUUCGCCAAAAAAGAUGUUUGAGUUUUGUGACACGGUUGGUGAAAGGGAAAACAGGGAAAGAAACAGAAAUACUUCUGUUUAGCUUUUUUUAAUGUUUUUUUGUUGCUAUGUUUCAUAAAGAGUUUGUUUGUGUGAGGGGAUGAAAGAAGAAAUAAUUGCUGCACCAUUGAAAACAUAAAACGGAAUAAAACCUUUUACACAACUUUUGUUUUUACAUCUUUAUAACAGUGAUAAAUAAUUGCAUAUUAAAUUACGUUAUUUAAUUUAAUUAUAAAUUAAAUUAGUGAAUAUAAAAAGUAAUCAAAUGGACCAUAAAGUGAUAUAUUUAUGAAGUGUAAAUAAAUCAGGGUCCUAACAAUUUUCGGACAUUCUAUGCGUAAGAAUGGUUCAGUAAAAGAUCAUAAAUAUACAUUUUUCGAGUUGAAAUGAAACGAGGAGAGUAGAUUGUUUUAUAUUUAAAUUUUAUCCUUAAAAUUUUUAGAUGUUAUUUAUUUUGAUGAUUGUGUACAAGUUCUAUACGUGUGAACAUAAAAUCGAUGCAAUAAUCAUAAUCAAUUUACAGUCUUCCGGAUAAAGUACAGAAAUUACCAUAUGAUGAAAUAUAUUAGAAUAUUUUCCCAUGUAAUGUUAUAUGGCUUUUACAUGAUAAUUGUCAACAUAAAAUCUCAAUGACUCAAUAAUUUUUGUAAUAUGGUUCUCAUGAAUAUAUAUUUUUAAAUUAAAUUGUAACUAUUAUUAUUGUGUUGCACUUUCUUAAGAAUAACUUAAGAAUAAUACAUUUAUAGUGAAUUAUUAAAAAAGAGAUAAUGAAUUUACAAUUUAGUUAUAAUGAUAAAUGUGUUUAAUUUUUACUUAUCUAUAGGUUAAUGCUUCGAAACUUCUUUUUUUUUUUUUCUAGAAAAUAUCUCUUCUAACUAUGAUAAGUUUGUAUUGUAUGCUUCUGCUUUAAAAAUAUCUAAAUAGUUCCUAAACCAAAAUCCCCCUUUUUCUUAUUGGUAAAAUUGAAAUUCUUCUUUUGGGUAAAAAUUAAAAUUCCUCUUUCUUGAAAUAAUUAAUGCAUUAAGAUAUUUGCUGAUUCAUUUAAGGAAUGGUAAUGCAUGAAUAUACACCCUCUUGUUUGUCCUUCAUAAAUAAAUGCAUCAAUACAAUUUUUAUUGUAUUUAAGUUAUUUUUUAACUUAAAGUAGUUUAUAUUGAGAUGAUGAUUGAGAUGGUAGGGGUUCAUAAAAUUAUAAAUUGUGAAAUUGUAACAUGGUAGAUUUUACUUUUUACAAUAAAAAUGAGAAAUUAUUAAAAUAAAAUCAAAUUCUCUAUUAGUAUUUCAUCAAAUUUUAAUUUUAAAUGGAUUUGAAUUUUGUAUUAAUUAAAAUCAUAUUUAUUAGGCAUAAUUGAGAAUUUCAAUAAAGUAAUUUUUAAUAAAAUUAAAUUUUAAUUAGGUUAAACAGAAAUAUAUAUAUAUAUAUAUAUAUGGUUGCUCCCUUCACCUUUCCAAUUCUUUCUCCCACCUCUCCAAAGUUCUACAUUUUUUUUAUUUACAAAAAUAACCUUUUCAUUUUCCUUUUUUACCCUUUUUUACCUUUUUACUUUUAGAAAACUUGAACCUUUUACUCUUCACUUUUACUCUGCCUCCUCACGUCUCUCUGCUGCCCCACCCACCCCCCUCCUCUUACUUUGAUUUGUUUUUAUUCAUUGUUUAUUAUUCAAAGUGUGACUUACACACAUGGUAGGCUAAGAUUACUUUCAAAUAUUUUAGUUUAGACACCAUCCUUGUCUCUCACGAUGAUGAACAGUGGUUGUAUAUCUUGUCAGUGGUGGUAAUUGUUGAAUUCAAAACCAGUGUUCCAGGGAGAUGUUAAGUAUGAGUAAUUGAUUUAACAAGGUGGGUAUUCAUUGUUGCCUUGGAUUUUUCAUUGCUAUCUUGCACUAUUUUAACCUCAUUAAAAAGUGAUGAAUCCCUAUUGUUUAUUGCUGUUGUUAAAUGUACAGAGAGCAUGCUACAUAGAAUGAUAUAGUAUGGCUGUACACCCUGAAUUUAGUUAAAUGUACAGAGAGCAUGCUACAGCCUUGACACAUGAAUAUCAUACUCCAGGUAAUGUACAGGCAGGAUGUGAAGGAACACGAGUUUGUCCUCUGGCUUUUUAUAAAACUUGUUUGAUACAGCAGGAUGUCCACAUCCGUUUGAACUUAAUUGGAUGUUAACAUUCGUCGAGACGGAUACCCAUAUCCGUUUUGAGGUUUUCACGUUUUCAUUUAGGAUUACGUGGCGUACCUCUGCAUUCAAGCAAGGCUGAUUGAAGUUUCUCAUCCCGUCCAACAAUUCUUUCUGGCAAGCAAACGCAAACUGAAGUUUGUGACGCCUCCAACAAUUCUUGCGAGUAAUCUCCUCCUCACCAUACUGUCACACCAUAAAAAGAUAACCUUCACCACACUGUCACACCAAAAAAAAAGAUAAAGAGAAAAAAUUCGAAGAGAAGGGAAAGAAUAAGAAUGAGAGCAUCAAUGAAAUAGGUUGUAAGAGGAAAGUAAUUAAAAAUUAUAAAAUUUUAACUUUAUAAAUAAUGUUUUUCUGAAGGGUAAUUUAGGAAUAGGGUGAAGGAUAAAAUAGGAAUAGAAAUAAAGAAUAGGAAUAAAAAUGGAAAGAGGAGGUGGAGGGAGAAAAAGGGAGAGAUGGAGAUUUUAAUUGUAUUUACUUUUAACUGGGUUGUGUUUCGACUAUAAUAUGCAUAACAAUAAAUUUGUAAUUGCAUUAAAUUUUAAUAAAUUUAAAUUUUAUUUGAAUUGAAUAAUUUCACCUAAGAAGGUAAAGGUGCAACGAAAAUGAGAAUGAUUAACACAACUUUAUAAUUUUGUUUGACGAUCUUAUUUAUGUCAUGAUAUAAUCUUAAGAUUUAGUUCGUAAACACUAUGUAAAUCUGUAAAAUCUUAUGAUUUUAAGAUUUAAAUUUUGAUUUGAACUAAAAUUGUUGUAACUGCGUUACUUACUUUUAUUGAGGUAAUUUUUUAUAUAUUUUUUUACUUAAUUAUAAAAAAUGAAAAAAAAAUAUAAAUAGAUUAUUUAUGUUUAAAAAUAGGUGACAAAUUGUAUUUAUAAUACAAAAACUAUAAAAAAAAUCCUCAACGUGAUAAUAUUAAUUUCAAUGGUUGAUAAAUUUUGGUCACCAUUUUGAUUGACUUUUUUUUAUUAGUCUUUAUUUAUUUAAUGCUUGAUGUAAAAUUUUAUGAAAUGGUAGUUUAAAAAUGAUGAGAUUUGGUUAUUUUAAUAUUAAAAGUUGUAUUAUAAAUAGUUUUGUUAUAAACAAGUUUUAUUAUUUUAAAAGGUAUCAUCUUUUUAGAAAAUACUUUUCUAAAAUUCUCUAUUUUCUAUUUAAGAGUUUUAAUUCCAGAGUUAUCUCUUUGACGAUCAGGAGGUGUCUAAUUGACCACGACGACAAUGUAUACAUUCCUAUCCGAUCAGUUUCAAGAAUAGAGCAAGUAAUUUUCGACUCUUUUUUUCCUUUUGUUCCAAAUCUAUUUUAGAAGAAUCUAGUAUUGUUGCAUGCACAAUCAUGCCACUAGUGCAAAAAUGUUGUUUAACGUCGGUUAAUUUGGGCUUUUAAUGUCACUUUCACAACCGACGUCUAUACGGGUGACGUCUAUGGGACGUCGAAAUUCGUCAAAACCGACGUCCAUAUAAACGUCAGUUAAUGAUAUCCACCGACAUCUAUAUAGAUGUCUGCUUAUACUCACACCGACGUCUAAUUACUCUAUAUAGACGCCCACCUAUGCUUAAACCGACGUCAACAUGAAUAUAUAAAGAGGUUUAAAAUGACACUAACCGACGUCUAUGUUGUUAUACACGUCGGACAUGGCUUUAACCGACGUCUAACAACGACUUUGUGUUUUAGUGCAGUUUUGAUCCAGGCUUUCGGUAGCAUUGUGUAACACUCUCCUCUCGCUAGUUUCCCCACAAAAAAAGCUUGCGUCUUUUGAAUCUUCUAGUGCUUUCAACCCAAAACCGAACCUGGGUCCAUGGCUACUUCCAAUUAUUCAACCGCAACAGAAAAAAUUACGGGGUCGAGAAGUAGACAAGGACCCAAGUUCCAUUUUGGGUCGGAAGAACUAGAAAACUCAAAAGAUCGCCACUCUUUUAGUGAGGAAACUAGCAAAGGGAGAAUGUUGCACUAUGUUACCCAAAGAGUGGAUCAAAACUGCACUAAAACACAACACAAAAAAGGCAAAUUUUAAUCAGUUGAACGACAAGAUAAUCGAUAAAAAACUAAAGAAAGUUUAAACGGUAAGCAUAAAAAAAACCACGCACCUGGGAUUAAGAGAGAAAAAGGAGAGGACGAAGACAAAGACGUUAUGAGAAAAUACAAUGCAAUGCCAGAAGAGAUAAAAAGUAAAGGUGCGCAAGGGAGUAAAAGAAGAGGAGAAGCAGAGAAAAAGGAGAAGAGGUGAAGACGCGAUCAGAAACUGAGUGGUUAGAAGGGUCUGCGGUCUAUUUAAAAUGAAAUUGGGCGUCGGUUGCGCCAGAAACCGACGUUUAUAGACGUCAGUGUUUGAUCGGGAUCCGACGUCUAUUCUUCUUAAAGAAGCUGGAAAGAUUGACGCUUGAUUUCCUGUCAGGGUAGUUCACGUCGGUGCCCCUCCUAGCCGACGUCUAAAACCCUCAAAUUUGGUGAAAAUAAUCAAUUACAGGAACAUAGACGUCGCUUACGUUCAAAACCGACGUCUAAAUUGAAGGAUUUUUGUCUUCCCGCCUUCCAGAUAGGCCUUAGACGUCGUCGUUUGACUACGUGACGUCUAAGCGCCUGGGAAUUUGGUGAACAACAUUAAUUGUAGCCCGGUCGACAUCGCUUGUUCAGGGGAUCCGACGUCUAUUCCACGUCUAAAGCUAAACCGUUUGACGUUUGAUUUCCUGUCACAGACUGGAACGUCGGUGCCCUUUUCUAUACGACGUCGAAUUGUCUGUCUUAUCACAUACCUCAGGCAAUUUGAUGUCGGUUUGAGGCAGGUGCAACGUCUAUGAUGUCAUAGACGUCGUCUAACAUCGAAACUGACGUCUAGUUUACCAAUAUAUUUACGAUAAUGUCACCGUGCAAUAAUAGACGUCGAUUUUUCACGAAACCGACGUCUGAUGGGUGAUGUUAAACAGCGUUUUGGCACUAGUGUGCCUCUCCUACUCGUUAUUGGUGCAUUUCAAGUUCUAAAGACUAUCUGUUUUCAAUUUGGUGUUUCGUAUGUUCGUCUAAGUAUUUCUUGUAGUUCAAGUAAUGGCGGAGUGUUAUUUGAGUUGGGCUAUUUCUUGUGAGGUAAGGGAAUCUAGAACUUGUUUUAGAUUGUUGUGUUGAUCUGAAUUUAAUAUAUCUAUGUAGUAUAAAAUGAAUUGUGUGUAUUUGUAUUGGUUGUUCUAGUGAUGUUUGAGUUUAAAUGAUUAUCCAAGGUGGUUUGGUGUUUGAAUGUUAUGUGUGAUAUGUUUAGAUUGUUUUACUGUUAUAAUUUUGUGUUUGGAGGUUAUAUUAUGGUUAAAUGAUGAUCUUGAAGUGGUUGGAGUAAUUGAGAGUGAAUUACUUGAGUUUCAAGCUUAAAAGAUAGGUUUUGGUGAGUGAAAUUGAGAAUGAAGUGAGAUGGCAAUUUGUCUAGCACUAUUAUGUGGUUAAUUGGAACUUGUUAGAAGAGUUAGAUGGUUGAAAACUGAUAUGGAGAAAGAUUGGGGUUCAUUGUUGAAGUUUUGAAGUGUUUGAGUGAAAAAAGGGAGGGGAGGAGGUUUGAGUAGUGAGAAUUGGAAGAGGUGUUGACUGUUUUGGAGAGUUGGGAGUGUGUUAUAAGACCCAUUAAGACUUUUCUAGGCUGUUAAAUGAGAAAAUUCUGGUAUAAGACAAUUCGUGUCAUCUUAAGGUGAGUUCUUCGAGGUUUUUGGCCCAAUUUGAGGUUUUGAAUGGUGAGAUCUUGAAACAGAAUGAAUGUGAGCAAUCUAAGGUAUUGGGUGUACUAGCAAGUGUAUUCGGACUUGAUUAUGCAGUUGGAAAACUAAUAUGGGGAUUAGAUAGUGUAGAUUUGAGUUUGAGUAGCUUAUAGGUUUGAAUUUGGGUUUUCAUAGGUCAAUUUGGCUUUAGAGUGGGCAAUUCAAGUUAGAGGUAUUUUUUUAGAUGUUUUUAAGCUUCUAAGAGUGUUUAGGAAUCAUUUAGACUUGUGUAGAUGGUCACCAAAUUUAAAAUAGGUGAAUUUUAGAACUUUAUGCAACGUUGGACGCUCUCCAAGGGGCCCUUGGGCGUCAUUUUUGUUAGAAGAACUCCCUUGNNNNNNNNNNNNNNNCCCCCCCAAGCAUCCCUGUUCCAGGGGUUUGGCGCCCUUUUUGGGACGCUAGCACCACUCAACAACUUUUGUUUUCUUUUUUUCAAUUUUCGGGAUCUCAAAUUCAGGGUUCCGAUUAUCGAUUUUUUAUGUUCUUGAGGUUGUUUUUGGAGUUUUUGACCCUUCCGAAGCUAUUAGAGAGGGUGUCAAAGCUAUUUUCCUUACCUAAAUGUGAGUAUCAAGAUGCCAUGAAGAAAUUGUGUUAUUGUGUUAUUUCUGAUGACUUGUAUGGGUGUUUCUAUUUCUUUAGUGAAUGAUCGAUAGUCUCAUGUAUUGGUGUACUAUGUGAAUGUGAAGUGAUCUAAAUGGUUUCAAAGGUAUGGAAGAGAGUUCAAAGGAGGAACUUCUCAGUGGCAGUUUCAAGUAUUGUAAGCAUGAUAUAGGAAACUUAUUCUUGGAGUUUAUACUGACAUUCUAAUGGUCACUCAUUCUCAAGUAGAGAAGGGUGAGGCAUGUCAUGAGAGUAGCAGGAGGUCCUAGUCUAGGGGAUUUACCUUGGCCUAAGGCAAGUGAUGAUGGAUUAACCUUGUGUGGUAGCUUGGAGUGGGUAAGUUGUUUCACCACAACAAGUAAAUGAACUACCAUAGCUCAAUAUUCAUACUAAUCCGGAUGGUCAAGUCAAAGUGUGGUCAUACAUAAAGUGUUUGCUUGGUUUGAUGUGCUAUGUGUAUUUUAGGUGAAUGUUUAACAUGUAUUAAUAUAUCUGUAAUUAUUUGUAUUCUAUCUUACCCUUGUUUUUGUGUUGUGUGUUGUUUUCUCUUUGUGAUUAUCACUUUAAUAAUGUGAACUUAGAAAGAUAGUCUUUUCAUUUAUUUUUGUAAGAGGUGAGGGUAAAAUAGUUAGAAAAUGAAAUGAUUCUACUUGUAUAGGUUUUUUCUUCGUAAGUUUGUUUUCUUAUAAAAGUUCAAUUUUUAUAUAUUAAAUAUCUCAUUUUAAUAGUAUUUUACUAUUAGAAAUGGAUGUUAUAUUGAUAAUUUAUAUUUUCCUUUAUAUUUCUAUUGCAUAUUUUUUCUAGUUUAUUUGGUUUCUCGGCUGUUUACAUUUUUUAGUUCCUUCAGUCCCUCGCCAGGUGGAAGGGGAGAAUGUCAGGAAAAAAAUUGAUAUGGUACUCCAUCGUCAGUCAAUUCAGCUUUUCUUAAUGUCGUUAGUUUUGGAUGACCAAAAAUUAUUGUCUUCUUAAGAAGAAGGAUCAAAAUGUAGUUUAAUUUUAAAGAGAGACUAAAACCAAAUUCACUUGAUAGUUUAGAGACUAAAAAUAUAUUUAACCCCUUUAUACAUUAGUUUACUUUAAUUAUUAUUAUUUUUAUUAGGGUGUUAGAAGGUAGGAUUAGAGAGACAAUCCUGACACCACAAAUAAAGUACAGACAAGACAAAGAGAUGGUAUGACACGUGAAUCCAGUGUAAUUAGAGUGUGAAAAAUUAAGUUUUUAUAUUUUUAAAAUUUAUUUUGUUUGUAGAUGUUUUAUUUUAUCAUUUGGUGAAUAUGUUAUUCUUAAAUAAAAGAGAGAGACAAGUGUCAACUUCAUUAGAAUAAUGUCUAUUAAAACAUGAGUGGAUAUAGGUAUUAUUUUAUUGGAAACAAAUAUAAGAGAUGUGAAUGUUUAUUUAAAAGUAAAUAAAAUGUAAAUGUGAUAUAUUAUUAAAAACUGGAGGAACAUGUAUCUUUAUUUAAAAAGUGAGUGGAAUCUGAGUAUAUUCUUAAAACUAAAAAGAGAGUAAGUGAGAAUUAAUAUAAAAUUAUCUUAUCCAGUUUUAAAAGUAGUUGUUAUUUAUUUUUAUGUGGAAUGUGGAAAAAGUCUCAAUAAUAAUAAUUUUGGAAUAUAAAGAGUAAUUUUGGAAUUUUAGAAAAAAUGUAAAGUGCAAAAAGAAAUAUGAGAUGGUAUAGGAAGAAACACUCACCCAUUAUAUGCUGCAUUGGAUCGUGCUCAGUAAAUUGGGCUGACAGGCAUCUCAUUUUGGACUGUUACUUCCUGUAUCGAUCAAAUUUCUUCCUACAUCCCAUCCUCAGAAAUAUUUUUUCAAAAGGCACUCAUCCGCUCGAAAAAUGUAAAUAAAAAUCCAAAAGCUUUGAUGGGACCAAAAUUAUGCUUACCAUAAAAUAAUUCAAUUAUUAAUAAAUUUUAAUAAAAAUUAAAAUUAACAUGAUGCAAUUUAAUUUUUUAACUCGUAAAAUAUUUUAACUUAAUUAUUUUAAUCAAAUUUUAUUAAAUUUAUUUAAUAUUUCAAAUAUACUUUUUAGAAAUUAUAUUAAACAAUAUAAACAAGUCAAAUAUUAUGAAACACGUUUAAAAUAUAAAAUAAACUUAAUAAAAUUUAAUUAAAAUAAUUAAAUUUAUACAUUUCUAAAAUUAAAUAAUUAAAUUAAGUUAAAAUUUAAAAAAAAUUAAUUCAAAUUUUGAUUAAAAAUUAAAAAGUCAAAAACAUAUUUAAUUCAAUAAUUAAUAAUUAACUGCUAAAAUGUUUCUUCUGCAUUUGACUCAAAUAUUUUAAAUAGUUUCAAUUUUAUAUAUAAAGAAAAAGAUACGACGGAAGCUCAUCGAGCUUUUCAUAAAAAUUAAUUAUUAGUGAACUGGACGAAUAUUUCACGCUUUACCAUGUUAUGCAAUUUUAAUUGGAAAUUACGAAUAUAGUGCACUUUUUUAAAAAAUUUCGUCCAAGACAAAUUGUAUAAAAUUAGGACAAUUUUUUCAUAAAAAAGUUCAUGUCAUUAAAACUGAAAAGUUGUUAGAGUUUUAUAUAAUUUAAAUUAAAGUUAAUUAGUUGAACCAACAUAAAACAAUUUCAAUAUUUGUUUUUUUUAUAAUAUAAAAGUUGUAAUACAACAAUAACACCACUUUAGAAGUUGGGUGGAAAAUAUUAAGACUUUUAUAUUAUCAACAAAACGUGCUCUUAUAUUGCGACUUUUAUAUUAUAAAGUUAUAUCAUCUUAUGUUGGUAUGAUAUUAGUUUUUUAGAAAAUUAUAUUUUAAUCAAAAUCAUUUAAAGCUCUAACUACUUAUCAGGAUGAAAUAUUUUUUAAAAGCUACACCAUAUUUCUAAUUUCUAAUUAGAAUUUUACUGUAAAAAAAAGAAAACUAAUAUUAUGUAGUGACCUUAAAUAAAUAAUGGUAGCUGGAACUGUACAUUAAUUUAAUACAUUAUCUUAUUUCGAAAAUGUUAUUAUCACCUCAGAGAAACUUUUUUAUUUAUUUAUUUAGUUUUCCUUGAUAAAAGAAUUAGUCUUUAAAAUUUACAAAAACAUACAUUUCUUGAAGAAAUAGGCUUGCAGCUCCAAUAUACAGUAGAAAAGGCUUAGGGUUUUGGAAUUUUUAACGUCACCUUUAAUAACGCUAAGUACACAUCCAUCAUUAAAAAAAAAGUGUAAAAUUUCUUAAUUCCUUCUCUCUCUUAUAGUCCUUGUACCUAUUUUAUCUUUUUCACAAAAUGCUACUUUUUUUUGGUUGAAAUCCAUGUUAAAAAUAUUUUUUUUUUGUAUAAUUUUUCUGAUAAUUGAUUCUAAAUAACUUGUUUAUGCAAGUUUCAUAGCUAGUUUAGAAAGUAGUUAUUAUAAAUGUGUUUCUUGAGAAUUUUAGUUUGAUAUUCGUUCAAUAUAAUUUUGGUGAAUUUUUGUGCAAUUAAAUUAGUAAAUUAAUGGUUUUCAAUCUAAAUUAGAGUGGGUUAAAUUUUAAGAUUAUGUAAUCAAGAAAAAUUUAUAUGUAAAUCACUUAUAUUAUGAAUUAAUUUUACAAAGAUAUUAAAACCAUUGAAUCAUCUUUUAAUGUGAAUUUCAAUAAAAAAAAAUAAUGCAUUUCUUUCCAAGAAUCAUAUUAUUUGUAUUUUUAUAUAAAGGUGGAAUGACCUAUAAUUAAAUGAUAUAAAAAAAUGGAGAAGAUAAAAAUAGAUUAAAGUGAUCAAAUUGAAAACUUAAAUUGUAAGAAUGUAAAUUAGAAGAAAUUAUACUACCAUUAAAACGAAUAAAAGAAAUUUAUACUAGUGGUGACCCAAAUUGUAAUCAUCACUAGAUUUACCAUUUUUUCUAUCCAUGGUGUUCACAUAAUAUUUGAUUUGUAACCACAAUUUUUCAUUCAUUUUUUCUAUUUGAAUAUUUGUAUUUCUCUUAAUUUUUUGAUAAUUAAAGUAAAGUAAAAUAAAAAAUUACAUAAAUUGUGAUAAUUACUUCAAAAUUGCUCACCUUGGAUCAAUUAUGCCUAUUAAGCUUUUUUUUUAUAGUAGUUAUCAUAUGUUAACUUCUCUUUCGAGUGUUGUCCAUUUUUUCAAUUAAUGACCAUUCUUUUAUCAUUUCAAAUCUUAUGUUGACUUCUAUUUGAUUUUCUUUUCCUUGAUAUUUUGCUAUGUCACAUCCUCUCUUAAUCCUAUUCUUUAACAUCCUUCUCUUGCUUACCUCACUUUUUCAAACAUUUCACCUUAGUAUCCUUAUUCAAUAUUUUAAUUAUCCAUAAAAUGAAUAUUAAAAAUACAUACAAUUAUUUAAAUUAGUGUACUAGUAAUGCUUUUGAAUCCUUCGUGUACUAGAAAGUUAGUUAGCAUAUAAAGAGGAAGGUUUUUACACUAAAUUUACGAUUAACAAAAAAAACAUUUCUUCCAAUUAUUUAUCUUUUUAUCAAUAUUAAAAUUUAGUAAUGUCAAAUGAGUUUUAAUUUAAAAACAAUGUUAUAUCAUGCUUAAAUUGUUUAGUACAGAAAAUAAUGUAUAUAUUUAACACGUUUAUUUAUUGUGAAUUUUAAAUAUGAAAAAUUAAUUAUUGUGAAUUAUAAAUAUAAUGCAAAUACAUAUUUAUUUGAACAAUGCACAUGGAAAAAUGCUAAUUGUGUUUGAAUAAAUAAUUAUGAGAGAGGGAGGCUAACAUUAUUAGAGAAUUGAAAAUGAUUAUCAUAGGUAUCAAAUCCGAAGAAUUUUUAAAUUAUGAGAAAUUUGUUUUCAAACAAAAUGAAGGAGUUUCAAAUAACAUUUAUAAGAAGGAAAAACUCAUCAUUUAUAAUGAAAAGGAAUCCAACAACAUGCACACGGUCCCAAAUUUAAUGAAUCAAAUAAAAAUGUAUAUAAAUUAUUAUAUCAAUAAUGUUGGUAAAGAAAACGACCCAAACCGAAGAUAAGAGGCCCAAUUGCCUCUUGACCCAAAACGCAUCACCCUUCAGCCUUGAAAUGUGAAAACUCACUUUCGCUAGAAGCCUCCUUAAUCAAAUGUUAGGUGAGUGACAUGACAGAGUGAAACACGAGUGAGAAGAAAAGAAAGCUCGAGAACUUCCAUUGCGUUACUGCAUCUAAGCAAGAGGAGGUCUUCAAUGGAAGAGGAAGAAGAAAGUAAACUGAAGAAAAGAAAGAGAAGAGCAUGGAUCUAAGGUUAGUGCAAAGAGUUCUUCAUUAGCGUUCUUGGAGAGAAAGAAAAAAUGAUAUUAUUUGUUUGUACUGUAUGUGUUGUUACAACUAUUGUAAAGGGGGGAAACUCUAUUUACAGAGUUCCCAAGGGAAAAACAGAAACUAAGUAAAAAAAAAACCUAACUAACAAUAAAGGCUUGAUUACUGUGUUAGACAAUAAUCUACCGAACAACAAGUUCUAAUAGCCUCCCCUCAAGUUGGAUGGUGUAUAGUUACCAAUCCAAGCUUGGGAACAAUGGGCUUGAACCGAACACGGUGAGGGAACUUAGUAAAUAUGUCAGCUAGUUGUUCAUAUGAGCAAACUGGGAGAAGAUGUAGAAGAUUAACUUGUAUCUUUUCAUGAACAAUGUGGUAAUCAAGCUCUAUAUGCUUGGUUCUUUCAUGAAAGCUCUGAUUAUGAGUUGUGUGUCUGGCCGAUUUGUUGUCACAAUAUAGAGCUAGAGGUCCGGCUUCCCUAACCUGUAGGUCGUCUAAGAGAUAGUGAAUCCAUUGUAUCUCACAAGUAGUUGCUGUUAGAGCUCGAUAUUCAGCCUCAAUGGAAGAUCUGGAAACAAUAUUUUGUUUCUUUGAUUUCCACGAGAUAAGUGAUGAUCCAAGAAAGACACAGAAACCUGUAGUAGAUCUCCUAGUAUUGGGACAAGUUGCCCAAUCUGAAUCACUGAAGGCUUUUAGAUGUAUAGGUGAGUCAGCAGGAAAGAACAGUCCUUUUGAGGGUUUAUACUUUAUGUACCUAAGAACAUGUUGAACAGCCCGAUAAUGAUAGUCAGUUGGAGAUUGCAUGAAUUAACUUAACAAAUUAAAUGAAAAACACAAAUCAGGUCUAGUGUUGGUGAGAUAGAGCAACUUCCCUGUUAGUCUUCGAUAAGAGGUUGGAUCUUUCAAAUAACUGUCUAUUUUGUAUAGAGAACUCGUAUCACUUAGGAAGGGGGUUGAACACGGCUUGCAACCUAGCAUUCAUGUUUCCUCAAGAAUAUCCAAUGCAUAUUUUCUUUGGGAUAAGUGAAUUCCUUUCUUGGACCUUGCUACCUCUAACCCUAGGAAAUAUUUAAGUUCUCCUAGGUCUUUUAUUUUGAAUUUGUUGUGCAAAAGACCUUUUAUGUGGUUGAUUUAUGUCAUGGAGUUCCCUGAAAGUAUGAUGUCAUCAACAUAAACAAGUAGGGCUAUGAAACCAGUAGUUAUCCUUUUGAUAAAGAGAGAAUGAUCACUUUUUGACUGUAUAUAGUCAACAGAACUAAGAAAGGUGGAUAAUUUUUCAAACCACUGCCUACUAGCUUGCUUUAGGCCAUAUAAAGACUUAGUAAGUCUGCAGACUUGACCUUCUUUGUGAACCCAGGAGGUGGUUCCAUAUAGACUUCCUUAUUUAGGUCUCCAUGUAGAAAAACAUUAUCCAUAUCUAGUUGAUGUAGAAACCAGUUUUUAGAGGUUGUCACCGUAAUGAGCAGUCUGACUGUAGUUAGCUCGACAACAGGAGAAAAGGUGUCUAAAUAGUCUAUCCCUUCCUGAUGAGUAUAACCCUUAGCUACUAGGCGAGCCUUAUACCUUUCUAUAGUGCCAUAAGCCUUGUACUUAACUCAAUAUACCCAUCUGCACCCUAUUGUUGUCUUCCCUUGAGGAAGUUGUGUUAGGAACCAAGUUUUAUUGUCUUGCAAGGCCUUGAUUUCCUUUUGCAUUGCCUCUGCUCAUUCACACACAUUUUUGGCCUCAUUGUAAGAGCGUGGCUCAUUGUUAGCAGUGAUAGCCAUAGUGUAUUUCAAAUGCCUUUCUGUUAUAGAAUCACAAGAUAGCAAAUCAGAAAUGGGAUAAGGAGUUUUAACCUAGUGAAUGUAGUCGCUUAGGUAUGCUGGAGGCUUUUUGAUCCUGUCAGAUCUUUUGUAUCCAUGCUCCCCUUCACUAUUAUCAACCUCAUCAGCCUCUUCAUCAAUGUCAUUUCCUUCUGUGAUGUCAUGUUGUGUUUCCUCUUCUGUAAAUCUUUGAUCAUCAUUGGAGGCAGAACUGCCUAAGAUAUCAUUGAGGAAGACAAAUCUGUCAACUUCUUCAUUGUCAAUUUCUGUGUUGUUUUGCUGAUUCUUCCAAGGAAAAAUGUCUUCAUAAAAGACAACAUUCCUACUUAUGAACAACUCUCUAAUGUUGAUGUCAAGAAUAAUAUAACCCUUGACACCACUCUUAUAACCAAGGAAAAUUCCUUUUCUAGCUCUUGGAUCAAGUUUGUUCUUGUCAGUUUCAAGAGUAGAAUCAAAACAGAGGCAUCCAAAAGUUUUUAAAUUCAAAUAAGUAGGAGGGACAUUAUAGAGUUGAUCAUGAGGUGUUUUUUUGUCAAGAAUGGGAGUAGGUAACCUGUUUAUCAGGUAGACAACAUGACUAACAACAUAGGACCAAUAAGCAUUUGGCAUGUUUGAUUGAAACAUUAGGCUGUGGGUAACAUUAAGAAUGUUUUGGUGUUUACAUUCUACACCAGAGUUUUGCUCAGGUGUUUCUACACAACUAGUUUGAUGGUUGAUACCAUACAUAUUAUAUAGGCUGACACAUUUGAACUCAGGUCCAUUAUCAGACCUGACAGUUUUAAUGGUUUUGCCAAAAUGAUUUUUAGUUUUAACAAUAAAAUUCUACAAUAAAUAUCUAGUUUGACCCUUAUUGUUCAUUAGAAAUAUCCAAGUAUGCCUACUAUAAUCAUCAACAAUGGUAAGAAAAUAUUUAUGGCCAUGAAUAGAAGAAAUAGAAAGAGGGCCCUAUAUAUCAUAGUGAAUAAGCUCAAAACAGUCAGUAGAUAAAGAAUUACUUGUAGGGAAAGGCAAUUUAUGUUGCUUAGCAUAAUGGCAAACAUCACAAACGGUAUUAGCAUUCAUUUGUACAUAAGGAAAGUGUUCACAAAUUUGUUUCACAAUCUUCUGUCCAGGAUGGCCUAACCUAUAGUGCCAUAGAUUUACAUCAACAUGUUUAAAGGAAAAAACAAAUAUUGAAACAAAGUCUUGAUCAGGAUUAGGAAAAGCUUGUAAGUAAUAGAGUCCCUUGUGAGGGUUAGCACACCCAAUCAUCUUCAAUGUAGAGUUCUCCCUUAUCUAGCAAAGCUUAGAGCAAAAAGUUAGAUUACAAUUUAAGUCUCUUAUAAGACUUUGGACAGAGAUUAAAUUGAAAGAAAAAUCAGGGAUAUACAACACAUUGAAAAUCACAAAAUCUUUAGAAAAUUGAACAGUUCCAACAUGUUCAGCAGUAAUAACAAAAUUAUUAGGCAGUUUAACAGUGAUGGGCUUAAUCUUAUAGAAGGUAACAAAGUUCUCUUUCUCAUGGGUCACAUGAUCAGUGGCCCUAGUGUCAAUAAUCCAGGAAAGAAUACCUGGUUUGUCCUCUUUGUCAUUCCUCUGCAUGUGAUUGAUCUUAUGUGUAGGUUCAUCAGCUUUCUCAAUCAUUUUGAGAAGUUUUUCCAUUUGCUCUGGUGUGAGUUUAUUUAAAACAGUGUCGGUACCUCCCUGGUGAGUAAUUUCAGAUCCAUAGUUGCUUUGGCAAACAUUAGCAGAAUUCCAUCCACUCCUUUUCUCUUGAUUAUUAUCAUUCUUUUUGUACCAAGGUGGAAAACCGUGUUUGGAGUAGCAUUCAUCCACAGUGUGAUUCAUCUUGUUGCAGUAAGAGCACUAUUUUCCAUAGUUAGGAUUCCUUCCUCCGCCUCUUCCCUGGUCAUAUGACCCAACACCACGUCCUUGAUUAGUUUUCCAAUUGUUGUUUCUGUCAGCAACAUUGGCAAUAAUUCUGGUGGUUUCAGCUGAAUGACUCUGGUCGGCAGUUCCAGUUUCAGAUCUUUCUUGUCUCUCUUAUUGUAUAAUAAGAGAGAAUACACAAUUGAUGUUUGGCAGAGGUUCCAUCAAUAGAAUCUGGGUUCGGACAAUAUUAUAGGUGUCAUUUAAUCCUUUCAAGAAGCAUAUAACAUGCUCUAUUUCUUUGUAUUUCAUAGAGAUUUUUGAGAGUUCACAACUGCAAGGGACCUUGCAGGUACAUUUGGGUAUGGGCCUAAGGGAUUCCAAUUCUUCCCAAAGGAUCUUUAAAGAAGUGAAAAAUUGAUUAACACUUCUUUCCCCUGUUUUAUUGAAUGAAUGUCUGGAAGAAGGUCAGAGAUUUUAAAGUAGUCCCCUUUAAAAAAUAUCUCCUUUAACUCAUCCCACAAUUCUUUGGCUUCCUCAACAUAUAUCACACUCUCUGCAAUCUGUGGAGAAAGUGUCUUUAUAAUCAAUGAGAGUACCAUCAUGUUGCAUCUUUCCCAUGCAUUAAACAAAGCUUCAUUUUUUUGUGGUUUCUUGAUAGACCCAUUAAUGAAUUUGAUCUUGUUCUUGGAGAUGAGUGCUCUUCUCAUACUUCUGCUCCAAGAAGAGUAAUUAGUCUCAUUCAAGACUCGAGAGAUGAGGGUUAGCUUUAGAUUUUCUCCAGGGUGUAAGUAGAAAGGGCUGACAGGGUUGGUAGACUGAUCUGUGUUAUCCAUGGUAGUAGGGAGCAAGAAACAGUUCAAGAAACUAAGCAAGAAUCAUCAUAGAAUGAAACUUGGGUAGCGAAAGCAAGUAGGUGUAGUUCUUGCUCGUGAUACCAUAAAGAAAACGGCCCAAACCGAAGAUAAGAGGCCCAAUUGCCUCUUGACCCAAAACGCACCAUCCUUUAGCCUUGAAACGCAAAAACUCACUUUCGCUAGAAGCCUCCUUAAUCAGAUGUUAGGUGAGUGACAUGACAGAGUGAAACGCGAGUGAGAAGAAAAGAAAGCUCGAGAGCUUCCAUGGCGCUACUGCAUCUAAGCAAGAGGAGGCCUUCACUGGAAGAGGAAGAAGAAAGUAAACCGAAGAAAAGAAAGAGAAGAGCGUGGAUCUAAGGUUAGUGCAAAGAGUUCUUCAUUAGUGUUCUUGGAGAGAAAGGAAAACUGAUGUUAUUUGUGCGUACUGUAUGUGUUCUUACAAUUGUUGUAAAGGGGGAAACUUUAUUUAUAGAGUUCCCAAGGGAAAAAGGGAAAAACAAAAACUAAGUAAAAAAAAAACUAACUAACAAUAAAGGCUUGAUUAUUGUGUUAGACAGUAAUCUACCGAACAACAAGUUCUAAUAGUUGGCACAAAGUUCCUUUUACACGUUUGGACUUACAUCUGAAUUUGGAGUUGGAGUGAAGUUAUAUAUUAAUGGAAAAUUAAUUGAAUGCUAGGAUGACUAUUAUACUAUCAUUUACGGUAAUAAGGGUGUUAUUGAUGGUUAUUAUAUGUACGUGCGCACAUAUAUAUGUAUGUAUGUAUAUAGGCACAUAUUUGUAUAUAUAUACAUUGGCACUUAUUUGUACAUAUGUACAUGCGCACCUAUUUGUACAUAUAUACAUGCGCACAUAUGUGUAUAUAUGUACGUGGACAUCUAUUUGUAUAUAUGUACGUGGACACAUAUUUGUACGUAAGCAUAUAUUUGUAUAUAUGUACAUAGACACAUAUUUGUAUAAAUGUAUGUAGACACCUAUUUGUAUAUAUCUACGUGCAUACAUAUGUGUAUACGUGUACGUGCGCAUAUAUGUGUGCAAAGAGUCCAAGGAUCAAUCCAAAGACUUAUUUACUACCUAUUAACUAAUGCAAGGUGGGGAAAUUAAAAUUGGAAGAAUGAAACUAAAAAGAUAAAAUCUAAACUCUAUUUGAAUGAAAAAAUGAAGUAUGAGAUGGAAUAAAAGAAACGAAAAUAAAAGUCUAUAAUGCCUAAAACAGAAUUAAAAUCUGAUUACUAUUGUCAACACCCAAUUUCGUCCGGGUUUCUUUUGACUUUAUUAUUUUUCUUUUUAUGUUCCAUGUUUAUUAUCAUUAUUAUUAUUAUUAUUAUUAUUAUUAUUAUUAUUAUUAUUAUUAUUAUUAUUAUUAUUAUCAUUAUUAUUAUUAUUAUUAUUAUUAUUAUUAUUAUUAUUAUUUACUUCUUUUCAUUUUUCUUUUUUAUUAUUGUUUUUGUUUUACUGUUAUUUUGAAUCUUUUUUGGAAUAUUCUUUUUAGAGUUUUAGUUUUACUUUUUAGUUUUGCUUUAAUAUUGUUAAUAUAGUAAAAAAAAAAGAAAAAAAAAGAGAAAAUGAAAAAAAAAACAAAGAAAUUUAAAAAAAAAAAAGAAAAAGGUGGCUUUGUCGUUUGUGAAAAAGGGGAAAUGUUGGCCUGAGGAAAGGACGAUGUAAUUUUGCACACAGCAGAGACAACAAUAUGCAGAGGAAAUAUGCAAUGAAAAACGGUUAAAGUAACGAGCAUUGGGAGUGAAUAGAGGGGUACGAAAUAGAGACUGGAGAUUGGAAUAGAGAAUGGAGACACAAUGGCAAAGAGGGGGGGUGAGAAUUAGAGGAGGAAAAAAUGGGCUCAAGAGGGAGGCUAUGAUCACAAAUAAAAAAACCUUUUCCUUCAUCAAGGGCGAGGGGGUGAGGUUUUCUGGAGAUUCGAACGCCUGCAUCAGCUUCACUCUUUUCUGUUGCAACAGUCAUUGGAGACACCAGGCAAUAGCAUAGGGGCCCUCAAGAGGUAAGAAUUCCCUCACUCAUUCAUAUAAUCACAUGUGAUGCUUGCUGUAUUGUGAAUGGUUGUUCUAUGAACUGUGUGUUAUACUAGCUUUUGGUUAUGACUUUGUGUAUGAAUCCCCCAUUCUUCAUUCUCAAUGAUCGUCGAACAUCGUCAUCGCCAUGCUCUUUACUUAGCUAGUUACUUACCCGGAAAAAAAAAAAAACAAUCAAGCAGAGUUUAUCUGCUAACUUCAUCCCGUACCACAUUAACCAACCCUCUCAGAACCGAAGGAUAAAUUCCCUCCCUUGUCAUCUCCUCACACGGCACCAUAGCCUCUUCCAUCUACACCCAGACGAGAAACAACACGAAACACAAAACCAAACAGAUAACACCAUCAUCAAACCGAAUCAGUCCAUAACCCAAUCCUGCCCCACCAUCACCACGUAUACCUACACCAUACCCAAACCUUCCCAUCGUAUCAUCAACACACCCAGUGCAAAACACACACGCACAAUAGCAUACACACAAUACAGAACACAGACCUGUACAAGAACACAAGCACAAAAUCAGAAAUUCCAAAUCAUCGCCAAACAACCCUAUCUCCAUCGGAAUUCAAGUAGAAGAUGAAGGUUGAGAAACAGGAAGCGACGUGCCCUGUUCGAAGGCUGUGACCUCGGAGGUGGAGACGGUGAAGUUGGUGAGUUCGAUGACAGAGUCUGACUCCACUGGCCAAAGGGGCAUGGGGCACCGGCAGCCAGUCUCGGCGGAAGCGGCGGAAGCGAUUAGAUCUCAGAGUUGGAAUCGCGUUCGUGCGAAGAGGAGGGAGAGGGCAAGCGAUGGGGUCUCCAGCGAUGUUAAGCCUGGUAGGAGACGGUGGCGCGGUGGCUAGAUUCGAAGCAGUGGUGGCCGGCGGUGCUCAAGGGUGGAAACCCCAAUCCUAGGACGAAGCGAGAGAGGAAAAGGGGAAACGACGCUGUGGCCAGCCUUGGCUCCGGUGACACCCGUUGUCGCCGGCGAUGUGGCGACUUAUGGAGGUGGUGGCAUGUGGCCCAGUCUGGUAGAGGCGGUGUGUGCGUGGAUUCGAGGGAGGCAAACCCCUCCCUGGGUUGCCUGUCGCGAGAGAGACUCUAGGUCUCUGGUGUUGAGUGUGUAUGGAAUGGGGGGAAGAAUGAGAGAACCCCUCCUGACCUGAUGAGUGAAAAGGCCUUGGGCCUCCAUUUCAGUUCCAACUUCUUCUUUUUUUAAAAAAAAUAAUAAGUAAUAUAACACAAAUGCAUUUGCUUUUCGGUAGUCUAACCCAUAAGAACUCCAUAGUUAAGCGUGCUUAACCUAGAGUAAUUUGGGAUGUGUGACCUUUUGGGAAGUUUUCCCGGAAAGUGUGCGAGUGAGGACAAAGCACACUGGAAAGCCUCGUGUUGAUGUGUGGGGGCAGUCAACAGUCCCUGUAAGUUGCCGGGGUGUUACAUCAAUGGCCCAAUUCCAACGACCCAAAUAAUGCUUGUAACAGCAACCCAAAUUAUCUGCCCAAAACAACCCAAUAUUGUGUUCCAAUCAGCAAAAAAAAAAUAUAACCCCAUCAGAAAUUUUAAUUCAAUUUUUCACAAGGGUCAAUUAACAAGAGCAAAAAAAGAACAAUUCAGAAAUUAGAAAAGAUAAAAACUUAUUUAAGCUAAAACAAAGAAAAGAAUUUUUAUUAAAAUAUUUUUCAAAAAUACUAAUUUCCUAAUUAUUAACAAAUACUAAAAGUUAUACCUAAAACCCUAUUUUUAACUAAAAUUUCACAAAACCUAAGAUUUAAUAAAAUAACUUAAAACUAAUCUAAUUCUAUACAAUUAAGAACAAAGAUGAACUAAAAAUCAUUUCUAAACAUAGAAAAAUAAACAAAAUUAAAGAGUUAUCACUUAACCCUUCUUUUGUAUUAUAUAUAUAUAUAUAUAUAUAUAUAUAUAUAUUUAAUUUCUACUUUUUAUUAUUUCUAAUAUUCUUCGUAUGUUUUAUUUUUUUUCAAAUAAAUUAUACUUUUACUAGUAAAAAAAUAUUCUUUUAACGUGCUUAAUAUGCUUCGGUUUUCACAAAACCGAAGCAUAGUAAAACGCGGUGACAUUUUUGUAAUUAAGGCAAAUUUAUACGUCUUGGUUCAGUGUGAACCGAAGCCUAUGAAAUCUAUUGUUUCGGUUAUUUACGAUACCGAAGCAUAAAACCCUCUGGACAAAGCCCUACUACUUCAGUCUUUUGUGAACCUAAGCCCACCCAACCUCAUUUCAUUUCUCUCAUUUUGUCUUCGUUGCGUCUACAUUCUUUCUUCAGAGAAUUUCAUUUCUCUUCAACCACAUCUCGACCUCAAGGUAUUUCUUCUUCUUCACCGAAUCAUCAUCGUCUUCAUUACCUUGCACAUUUCCUCCAACACCAAACCCCAAACUCUGUUAGGGUUUCUCUUUCAUUUCCCCUUUCCCUUUGUUUUCAUCGAUUAAAAUCGAUUUUCCACAUUUCCCACUGGCUAAACGCCAUUCUACCAAUUGAUUCUUUGAUUAACGACAUUCUCACCCUUCAAUCUCCAUUUUCCACAUUCGCCCCUGCUGCCGCCACCAACGAAACUGCCUGCCACCACCAUUCUCGACAACUGGUCUGAACCGUGAGGAUUGAUCUCCUCCCCCUCCGACUCAGCGCGACCCUAGAAGUAGGGGUUCUCAUCCUACUUCAGUGAAGAAGACAACCACCAACACUCAUUGUCCUAUGCCAUCAACACCUGCUCCAAAUCACUCCACAGUUGUCGUUGCAGAUUCAACUACACUAAAUUGUACAUGCAUACAUAUGUGUAUAUAUGUACGUCGUUCAAAUGUGUGUGUAUAUAUAUAUACAUACAUACGUGCGCACAUAUUUGUAUAUAUUUGAAAAAAUAUUUAAAAUAGGAGUCAUCAUCGUUUUUUUCAAUAAACUAUGAAAAAUCUAAAAAAGUGGUCUGUGGGUGUUAAAAAGGUCCAAAAAUACCUUAGUUUAAGCACCAAAAUUAAUUUUUUAUUGACUUAAACGUUGGCUAGGAAGGGGGGUCGACGUCAACUCCCUUGCAUCUUUAUGCACUCCAGAAGGCGAGCAUCUGUUACACGCAUCUGUUACACGUAUUGUACGUCCACUAGUGCAAAAACGCUGUUUAACGUCACCCAUAAGACGUCGGUGCACGGGUAGACCGACAUAUAUUAGCGAACAGUGGCAUUACCGUAAAUAAGUUGGUAAUCUAAACGUCGAUUUAAAGAGGAGGUGACGUCUAUAAUACUGUAGACGUCGGUUCUGUCUUAAACUGACGUAUAAUGGCCUGAGGUAGGCGAGAAGACAGUCUAUUGAUGUCGAUUUUAACGGGGGCCGACGUCUACUGGGUUGUAAUUAAUGCUCUUCACCUCAUUCCCAGGAGCUUAGACGUCAUGUAGUAAAAAAUCGAUGUCUGAUGGCCUGAGGUAGGCGAGAAGACAGUUUAUUGACGUCGAUUUUAAUGGGGCCGACGUCUACUAGGCUGCAAUUAAUGCUCUUAGAUGUCAUGUAGUAAAAAAAAUGACGUCUAUGGCCUGUCCAGAAGGCGGGAAGACAAAAAUUUUGCAAUUGAGACGUCAGUGUUUUUCGUUCCCGACGUCUAUGUGCAUGUAAUUAAUUAUCUUCACCUGAUUCCCAAGCGUCCCUUCACAACUGUCGUCAACAUCCCUGACAAGAAAUGGAACAUCAAUCGAUUUAGCUUCAUAGACGUCGGCUCCCCUUUAAACGACGUCUAAUGGGCAUUCAAAAAGUCAGUUUAAAUGUUAAUUUGGUCGUCGAAUUAGUUAUAGAACCGACGUCUAGGUGACUAUAGACGUCGGUAUCCCAAGCAACCGACGCUCCAUUUCAUUUUAAAUAAACCGCAGACUCUUCACGACAUUCAGUUUCUGAUAUCGUCUUCCUCUCUUCUCCUUUUUCUCUUAUUUCUCUCUUGCGGCAUUGCAUUAUUGUUUCUGAUAUCUUUAUUGUCUUUCUCCUCUUCUUUCUCUCUUCCGGCAUUCCAUCCCAGGUGGUUUUUUUUUAUGCUUACCAUUUAAACUUUGUUUAGUCUUUCAUCGAUUAUCUUCUGGUUCAACUGAUUAAAAUUUGCUUUCUUUGUGUUGUGUUUUAGUGCAGUUUUGUUCCUUUCUUGGGGUAACGUAGUAACACAUUCUUCCUUUGCUAGUUGCCUCCUAGAAAAAGCGGCGUCUUGUGAAUUUCUUUUGUCGUUUCAACCCAAAAACGACCCUGGGUCGUUGCCUAGUUAUCGUUUCACCGUAAUUUUUCCCUUUUGAGGAUGAAAAUGGAACUACACAACAACCCAAGUUCGGUUUUGGGUUGAAAUGCCAUAAGAAAUUCAAAAGACACAAGCUUUUUUUUGGGGGGAAACUAGCAAAAGGAGAUUGUGCUACUAGGCUAUCCAAAGACGGGAACGAAACUACACUAAAACACAACCACUGUAUUAGAUGUCGGUUAAUGUAUACACCAACGUCUAUAGUACCUUUUAGACGUCAGUCAGUGUCAUUUUUGAAGUCUUUAGUGCCUCUUCGACGUCGGUUAUUGCUCAGACCAACGUCUAUAUAACGUCUUUGGACGUCCAGUUAGGCCUACUCCGACGUUUAGUGACGUUGGACAUGGCAUUGACAUGACGUCAUUAUAGACGUCGGUUAUAUUCAUGUCCGACGUCCCAUUAACGUCACCGAAAAUGACGUCGGUUGUUUAAUGGACGUUAAAAGCCCAAAAUAACUGACGUUAAUCAGCUUUUUUCCACUGGUGGUCUUCUUUGUUGCGAGCAUUCUGUUGUUUGCCAUUAACGUUGAGGUAAGAUUUUCUCCACUCUUCAUCGUUUAAAAUCAUUUUUGCACCGAUUACAUUAUGUUUAUUACCAUUAUCUUUCAUUUGUACCAAUUAAAAUACAUUUUCAUUGACUUUUGGUGCAGUUUCUUGUGCGCAUUCUAGGAAAUAGGCAACGACGUUUUCGGACAAUUAUUGUGUUCGUUCCUUGUGCCCAGUCCUCGGCAACAUGCUACAAAAUACUUUUCCAGCCCUCUAUUUCCCUGCACUCUAUUUUAGUUUAUUAUUAGCUAUUAGUUUUUGUAUAUGUGAUUGGUUUUUGGUCAUUGGUUAUUAGGUAUUGGAUAUAUGAAUUUUAGUUUUGAUAUGUGAUUGGUUAUUGGAGAUAUAAUUAUUGGAGGUGUGAUUUUUUGUCUCUUAUGCAUAAUUGAUUAAGUUUCUUG
rnacentral:lncRNA from 1 species